UACGGAGGGUGCGAGCGUUGUCCGGAAUCAUUGGGCGUAAAGGGCGCGUAGGUGGCCCGGUCAGUUCGUGGUGAAAGCGCGGGGCUCAACCCUGCGUCGGCCAUGAAUACUGCCGCGGCUGGAGCACUGUAGAGGCAGGCGGAAUUCCGGGUGUAGCGGUGGAAUGCGUAGAGAUCCGGAAGAACACCGGUGGCGAAGGCGGCCUGCUGGGCAGUUGCUGGACACUGAGGCGCGACAGCGUGGGGAGCAAACAGGGAU
rnacentral:rRNA from 1 species